rnacentral:rRNA from 1 species
GACGAACGCUGGCGGCGCGCCUAACACAUGCAAGUCGAACGAGAGAUGAGGAGCUUGCUCUUCAAAUCGAGUGGCGAACGGGUGAGUAACGCGUGAGGAACCUGCCUCAAAGAGGGGGACAACAGUUGGAAACGACUGCUAAUACCGCAUAAGCCCACAGCUCGGCAUCGAGCAGAGGGAAAAGGAGUGAUCCGCUUUGAGAUGGCCUCGCGUCCGAUUAGCUAGUUGGUGAGGUAACGGCCCACCAAGGCGACGAUCGGUAGCCGGACUGAGAGGUUGAACGGCCACAUUGGGACUGAGACACGGCCCAGACUCCUACGGGAGGCAGCAGUGGGGAAUAUUGCACAAUGGGGGAAACCCUGAUGCAGCGACGCCGCGUGGAGGAAGAAGGUCUUCGGAUUGUAAACUCCUGUUGUUGAGGAAGAUAAUGACGGUACUCAACAAGGAAGUGACGGCUA